rnacentral:rRNA from 1 species
UACGGAGGGUGCAAGCGUUAAUCGGAAUUACUGGGCGUAAAGCGUGCGUAGGUGGUUUGUUAAGUCUGAUGUGAAAGCCCUGGGCUCAACCUGGGAACGGCAUUGGAAACUGGCUUACUAGAGUGCGGUAGAGGGGUGUGGAAUUCCCGGUGUAGCAGUGAAAUGCGUAGAUAUCGGGAGGAACAUCAGUGGCGAAGGCGGCUGCCUGGCCCAAUACUGACACUCAGGUGCGACAGCGUGGGGAGCAAACAGG